rnacentral:rRNA from 1 species
CCUUGCUUAACCACACCCCCACGGGAUACAGCAGUGACUAAUAUUAAGCCAUAAACGAAAGUUUGACUAAAUCAUAACUAAUUAGGGUUGGUAAAUCUCGUGCCAGCCACCGCGGUCAUACGAUUAACCCAAAUUAACAGACAAACGGCGUAAAGCGUGUUUAAGCCAAAACACACAAUAAAGCUAAGAUUAAACUAAACUGUAAUACGCUCUAGUUUAUAUCAAAAUACAUAACCAAAGUAGCUUUAAUAACGCUGAACACACUACAGCUAAGAGACAAACUGGGAUUAGAUACCCCACUAUGCUUAGCCUUAAACCAAGAUAAUUAAAUAACAAAAUUAUUCGCCAGAGAACUACUAGCCAAUGCUUAAAACUCAAAGGACUUGGCGGUGCCCUAAACCCACCUAGAGGAGCCUGUUCUAUAAUCGAUAAACCCCGAUAAACCCCACCUUUUCUUGCCAAUACAGCCUAUAUACCGCCAUCGUCAGCUAACCCCAACAGGGACAAAAAGUAAGCAAGAUCAUUAACCAUAAAAACGUUAGGUCAAGGUGUAGCAUAUGAAAAGGAAAGCAAUGGGCUACAUUUUCUAAACUAGAAAAAAACGAAUUAUCUCAUGAAACCUGAGCAAUAUGAAGGAGGAUUUAGUAGUAAAUUAAGAAUAGAGAGCUUAAUUGAAAUAGGCAAUAGGGCGCGCACACACCGCCCGUCACCCUCCUCGACAAAACCAUACAAAUAACUAAUAAAAUAAAACAUAA